UUUCCGUAGGUGAACCUGCGGAAGGAUCAUUAUCGUAGGGCUUCGGCCCUGUCGAGAUAGAACCCUUGCCUUUCUGUGUACCUUUCGUUUCCUCGGCAGCCUCGGCUGCCAAUGGGGACCCCAAAAAACACUUUGCAGUACCUGUAACAGUCUGAACAAACAAACAAAAAUUAAAACUUUCAACAACGGAUCUCUUGGUUCUG
rnacentral:misc_RNA from 1 species